ACGCUCGACACCUACGUGAGGCAGCAGUGGGGAAUAUUGGGCAAUGGGCGAAAGCCUGACCCAGCAACGCCGCGUGAGGGAAGAAGGUUUUCGGAUUGUAAACCUCUGUCCUCAGGGACGAAGGACGUGACGGUACCUGAGGAGGAAGCCCCGGCUAACUACGUGCCAGCAGCCGCGGUAAUCUGAGCGGGCUGGCAAGGC
rnacentral:rRNA from 1 species